AGGGGUAGAUUAAGGUGGUAAUCCUCAAUUACAAAUCUAGAGAGAGAAGUAAGAAUCUGACAAAUUAUUGAAUAAUGUCAACAAAAUAAGAGGGGGGACUGGUUAGUUAUCAUUGGUUAAAAUUGCAUCACACUAAUAAUACAUCAAAUUGAUCACCAAGGAACUGGAUGCCUAAUUUUAAUUUCCAACCUCUUGGUUUUGCUUUUCUCAUUGUUUUACGUGUAUUAAAAGGACACUCUAGGCAACAUGACUGCUCACUGCUAACACUUGCUAUUGAUCAAUGUCUGUUCCGUCCAAUGUGGACGGCAUUGGUUGGCUGAGAGUGCUGAGCUAGUU